AUACGGAGGAUCCGAACGUUAUCCGGAUUUAUUGGGUUUAAAGGGAGCGUAGGUGGAUUGUUAAGUCAGUUGUGAAAGUUUGCGGCUCAACCGUAAAAUUGCAGUUGAAACUGGGAGUCUUGAGUACAGUAGAGGUGGGCGGAAUUCGUGGUGUAGCGGUGAAAUGCUUAGAUAUCACGAAGAACUCCGAUUGCGAAGGCAGCUCACUAGACUGUUACUGACACUGAUGCUCGAAAGUGUGGGUAUCAAACAGGAUUAGAUACCCUGGUAGUCCACACAGUAAACGAUGAAUACUCGCUGUUUGCGAUAUACAGUAAGCGGCCAAGCGAAAGCAUUAAGUAUUCCACCUGGGGAGUACGCCGGCAACGGUGAAACUCAAAGGAAUUGACGGGU
rnacentral:rRNA from 1 species